AAAAUACAUUAAUCUCUAUCACAUGACAUCAAAGUUCUUCCUCCCACUACACUUGAAUCAGGAAAAAUAUUUCUCCAUUUAGGUGAUUCUGGAACAUAUCUUUUCCAUCACUUAGUUAUCAUGGAACCCUAUAAAGGACAAGGCGGCAUUCAGAUGCUGCUAACUGCUGAACAAGAAGCACAACAUAUUGUUUCCAAUGCAAGAAACUUGAGGAAUAAAAGAUUGAAGCAGGCAAAAGAAGAGGCUGAGAGGGAGGCAGCACAAUAUAGAGCUCAAAUGGAAGAAGAAUACCAAAAGUCAAUCUCAGAGACAACUGGGAGCUCUGGAUCCAAUGUAAGAAAGCUUGAGGAAGAGACAGAUGCCAAGAUAAGAAAUAUAAAAAGAUCAGCUUCAAAGGUCUCUUCAGAAAUUGUUGAUAUGAUGCUCAAGUAUAUUUCAAAUGUUAAAGUGUAAUUUCCCAAGAAAAACUGCUGAAGAAAGAUAACAUAAGGAGUCAUCAUCACCAACAAUAAAAGAGGCAAAGUCUGGAAUGAUCAUUUGCUAUUUUUCACCCUGGUUGCCAUUAUGUAAAGCCUUUGCCAUGAAGCUCCUGC